rnacentral:rRNA from 1 species
GGAAUCUUGCACAAUGGGGGCAACCCUGAUGCAGCGACGCCGCGUGAGCGAUGAAGCCCUUCGGGGCGUAAAGCACUUUCGACCGGAACGAUAAUGACGGUACCGGGAGAAGAAGCUGCGGCUAACUACGUGCCAGCAGCCGCGGUAAUACGUAGGCAGCAAGCGUUGUUCGGAGUUACUGGGCGUAAAGAGUGCGUAGGCGGUUUUCUAAGUUCGGUGUGAAAUCUCCCGGCUUAACUGGGAGGGUGCGCCGAGGACUGGGAAGCUGGAGUGUGGGAAAGGCAGGCGGAAUUCCUGGUGUAGCGGUGAAAUGCGUAGAUAUCAGGAGGAACACCGGCGGUGUAGACGGCUUGCUAGACCAUAACUGACGCUGAGGCACGAAAGCGUGG